UUUUAUGGAGAGUUUGAUCCUGGCUCAGGAUGAACGCUGGCGGCGUGCCUAAUACAUGCAAGUCGAGCGAACAGAUAAGGAGCUUGCUCCUUUGACGUUAGCGGCGGACGGGUGAGUAACACGUGGGUAACCUACCUAUAAGACUGGAAUAACUCCGGGAAACCGGGGCUAAUGCCGGAUAACAUGUUGAA
rnacentral:rRNA from 1 species